rnacentral:rRNA from 1 species
CAGCAGCCGCGGUAAUACGUAGGGUGCGAGCGUUAAUCGGAAUUACUGGGCGUAAAGCGUGCGCAGGCGGUUCGUUAGGACAGAUGUGAAAUCCCCGGGCUUAACCUGGGAACUGCAUUUGUGACUGGCGAGCUAGAGUAUGGCAGAGGGGGGUAGAAUUCCACGUGUAGCAGUGAAAUGCGUAGAGAUGUGGAGGAAUACCGAUGGCGAAGGCAGCCCCCUGGGCCAAUACUGACGCUCAUGCACGAAAGCGUGGGGAGCAAACAGGAUUAGAUACCCCAGUAGUCCCUGUCUCUUAUAC